rnacentral:rRNA from 1 species
UACGGAGGGUGCGAGCGUUGUCCGGAAUCACUGGGCGUAAAGGGCGCGUAGGUGGCCUGUGGAAGUCUGCGGUGAAAGCCCGGCGCUCAACGCCGGGUCGGCCGUGGAUACUCUCGGGCUCGAGCUUACUAGAGGCAGAUGGAAUUCCGGGUGUAGCGGUGGAAUGCGUAGAGAUCCGGAAGAACACCGGUGGCGAAGGCGGGUCUCUGGGCCGAUACUGACGCUGAGGAGCGAAAGCGUGGGGAGCAAACAGG